rnacentral:rRNA from 1 species
UGGCUCAGGACGAACGCUGGCGGCGUGCCUAACACAUGCAAGUCGAACGGAGUAAUGAUUUCGGUUAUUACUUAGUGGCGAACGGGUGAGUAACGCGUGAGAAACCUGCCUUUCAGUGGGGGACAACAGUUGGAAACGACUGCUAAUACCGCAUAAUGUUAUUUGGGGGCAUCCCUGAAUAACCAAAGAUUUAUUGCUGAAAGAUGGUCUCGCGUCUGAUUAGCUUGUUGGCGGGGUAACGGCCCACCAAGGCGACGAUCAGUAGCCGGUCUGAGAGGAUGAACGGCCACAUUGGGACUGAGAUACGGCCCAGACUCCUACGGGAGGCAGCAGUGGGGAAUAUUGGGCAAUGGGGGAAACCCUGACCCAGCAACGCCGCGUGAAGGAAGAAGGCCUUCGGGUUGUAAACUUCUUUUACCAGGGACGAAGAUUGACGGUACCUGGAGAAAAAGCAACGGCUAACUACGUGCCAGCAGCCGCGGUAAUACGUAGGUUGCAAGCGUUGUCCGGAUUUACUGGGUGUAAAGGGCGUGUAGGCGGAGAUGCAAGUUGGGAGUGAAAUCCCGGGGCUCAACCCCGGAACUGCUUUCAAAACUGUAUCCCUUGAGUGUCGGAGAGGCAAGCGGAAUUCCUAGUGUAGCGGUGAAAUGCGUAGAUAUUAGGAGGAACACCAGUGGCGAAGGCGGCUUGCUGGACGAUAACUGACGCUGAGGCGCGAAAGCGUGGGGAGCAAACAGGAUUAGAUACCCUGGUAGUCCACGCUGUAAACGAUGAAUACUAGGUGUGGGAGGACUGACCCCUUCCGUGCCGCAGUUAACACAAUAAGUAUUCCACCUGGGGAGUACGACCGCAAGGUUGAAACUCAAAGGAAUUGACGGGGGCCCGCACAAGCAGUGGAUUAUGUGGUUUAAUUCGACGCAACGCGAAGAACCUUACCAGGGUUUGACAUCCAACUAACGAAGUAGAGAUACAUUAGGUGCCCUUCGGGGAAAGUUGAGACAGGUGGUGCAUGGUUGUCGUCAGCUCGUGUCGUGAGAUGUUGGGUUAAGUCCCGCAACGAGCGCAACCUCUAUUGUUAGUUGCUACGCAAGAGCACUCUAGCGAGACUGCCGUUGACAAAACGGAGGAAGGCGGGGACGACGUCAAAUCAUCAUGCCCCUUAUAUCCUGUGCUACACACGUAAUACAAUGGUGGUCAACAGAGGGAGGCAAAGGAGCGAUCCGGAGCAA